UACGUAGGGAGCGAGCGUUAUCCGGAAUUAUUGGGCGUAAAGGGUGCGUAGAUGGUUGAUAUAAGUCUUUUGUAAAAAUGCUAGGCUCAACCUAGUAGGGCAAAAGAUACUGAUGAACUAGAGUACGGCAGAGGCAAGUGGAACUACAUGUGUAGCGGUGAAAUGCAUAGAUAUCGCGCAGAACUCCGAUUGCGAAGGCAGCAUGCCGGCUCCACACUGACGCUGAGGCACGAAAGCGUGGGUAUCGAACAGG
rnacentral:rRNA from 1 species